AGGAAAGAGGGAGGAGUGACUAAUACCUGCAAGUCGCGCGAACAGACGAGGAGCUUGCUCCUCUGACGUUAGCGGCGGACGGGUGAGUAACACGUGGAUAACCUACCUAUAAGACUGGGAUAACUUCGGGAAACCGGAGCUAAUACCGGAUAAUAUAUUGAACCGCAUGGUUCAAUAGUGAAAGACGGUUUUGCUGUCACUUAUAGAUGGAUCCGCGCCGCAUUAGCUAGUUGGUAAGGUAACGGCUUACCAAGGCAACGAUGCGUAGCCGACCUGAGAGGGUGAUCGGCCACACUGGAACUGAGACACGGUCCAGACUCCUACGGGAGGCAGCAGUAGGGAAUCUUCCGCAAUGGGCGAAAGCCUGACGGAGCAACGCCGCGUGAGUGAUGAAGGUCUUCGGAUCGUAAAACUCUGUUAUUAGGGAAGAACAAAUGUGUAAGUAACUAUGCACGUCUUGACGGUACCUAAUCAGAAAGCCACGGCUAACUACGUG
rnacentral:rRNA from 1 species